AUUGAACGCUGGCGGCAGGCCUAACACAUGCAAGUCGACCGAGUGGCGGACGGGUGAGUAAUGUAUGGGCAUCUGCCUGAUGGAGGGGGAUAACUACUGGAAACGGUAGCUAAUACCGCAUACCAUCAGAUGUACCCAUAUGGGAUUAGCUUGUAGGUGGGGUAAAGGCUCACCUAGGCGACGAUCCCUAGCUGGUCUGAGAGGAUGAACAGCAACACUGGAACUGAGACACGGGCCAGACUCCUAAGGGAGGCAGCAGUGGGGAAUAUUGCACAAUGGGCGAAAGCCUGAUGCAGCCAUGCCGCGUGUAUGAAGAAGGCCUUCGGGUUGUAAAGUACUUUCAGUGGGGAGGCGUUACCGAAAGAAGAAGCACCGGCUAACUACGUGCCAGCAGCCGCGGUAAUAC
rnacentral:rRNA from 1 species